ACCCUGCUCUUCCGCCCAAAACGAGCGCACGUAAGGCCACGUUGCCGGCGAAUCUCGGUCGUCCGAUCUCCGGUCUGGUUUAAUCGUGUCGUCCGUCGGCAUGGACCGCGGUUGGGUCCAGAACCUUCCCGUUCCUGAGCACAUCGUCUCUGCCGCUCCUCAUCGGCUCAUCCUCGCUCCACCGCGAAUUCGCGGCCCUACUCGGCUCCUCCCUCCCUGUUCCCGUCCGCUGCCUCCUUCCUUUUCUAGCCAAGCAGCGGGUGCGACGCCGCGAAGAAGGAAGAGGAGAUGCGACUGGCGCGACGCAAAGCAGCAGAUCAGCGGCGGCGCCGGCUGUGAUUCUCUCCACCUGCUCCCCUGAGCCGCAGCCCUUCUCCUCCUGGCCAUGCACAUUGUCUACCCAUCGUCGCUAUGUUGCAGGUUCACCACCUCCGUCAAUUUGCAGACGCGGCCCACCAGAGCUCGUCGUGAGGGUGCUGCCAGCUGCCUUCGACACAGCGGACAGCCGGCAGCCGCGCAUGGUGGAACGCAUUACGGCUGGUUCUGCCCGGCGACAUCGCAGCCCGGGAGCCGGAUUGGCGGCAACUCGGCGACGGCGUCCUCCUUAACGCCUGCUGCUGUGAGAGAGGACUUCCCAUGCGCACGACAGGAGGCAAGCUCAAGCAGCAAGGUGGAUGGUGGACAUGCACCGACGCAUCGACACUAAGGCCUCGCGUUCCAGGUUCUUAUGCUCCAGUUAUAACAUCAAAUCUACCUUCCAAAUUCCAUACGGGUGCAACAAGUGAGACCACUAGAUAAUUGGCGUAUGCUAACCGUAGCUCAUUUGUUGGUUUUCUUUCAAAAAGUUAUUAAGUUUGCUGAAGCUAUUAAGAAAUUUUCAGCAUUGUUAUGUUAGUUUAGUACAAAUUAAAGCGAUUCAAGCUAGCUUUCAGGAUAAACCUUUCUCCAAUAUGGCUAAACCUUGGUGCGAUCAAUUUCCUAUAUCA